AGAUGAAUUUGGUGCUUGCACCAAAUGAAACUAGAUACAAGCGAGCGGCGGACGGGUGAGUAACACGUGGGUAACCUGCCCAAGAGACUGGGAUAACACCUGGAAACAGAUGCUAAUACCGGAUAACAACACUAGACGCAUGUCUAGAGUUUAAAAGAUGGUUCUGCUAUCACUCUUGGAUGGACCUGCGGUGCAUUAGCUAGUUGGUAAGGUAACGGCUUACCAAGGCAAUGAUGCAUAGCCGAGUUGAGAGACUGAUCGGCCACAUUGGGACUGAGACACGGCCCAAACUCCUACGGGAGGCAGCAGUAGGGAAUCUUCCACAAUGGACGCAAGUCUGAUGGAGCAACGCCGCGUGAGUGAAGAAGGGUUUCGGCUCGUAAAGCUCUGUUGGUAGUGAAGAAAGAUAGAGGUAGUAACUGGCCUUUAUUUGACGGUA
rnacentral:rRNA from 1 species